UUCGGUUUGGAUAACUAUGGUUAUUAAUGGUUCGGUUAAUUAAGUGUUAUCAAAAUAAUGGUUCAGUCCAAAA
rnacentral:pre_miRNA from 1 species